rnacentral:rRNA from 1 species
CUGGAUGGUAGUGUAUUGGACUACCAUGGCAAUGACGGGUGACGGAGAAUUAGGGUUCGAUUCCGGAGGGGGAGCCUGAGAAAUGGCUACCACAUCUAAGGAAGGCAGCAGGCGCGCAAAUUACCCAAUCCUAAUUUAGGGAGGUAGUGACAAGAAAUAACAACGCGGGGCUAUGUCUCGCGAUUGGAAUGAGAACAAUGUAAAAGCUUUAACGAGGAUCCACUGGAGGGUAAGUCUGGUGCCAGCAGUUGCGGUAAUACCAGCUCCAGUAGCGUAUAUUAAAGUUGUUGCAGUUAAAAAGCUCGUAGUUGAAAUUCUGUACGGAACGACGUCUUUGGAUGAUCGAGCCGUGCAUCCGCCUGAGCAGCAUGCUGGUACUUUGUUGCCGGUAUGUGAUCAGGCACUUUACCUUGAGCAAAUUAGAGUGUUUCAGGCAGGCGUCAGCCUGAAUAGUUCAGUAUGGAAUAAUAGAAGAGGACUGAAAACCACUGUUGGUGUUGUGGUAAUCAGUAAUGAUUAAUAGGGAUAGUUGGGGGCAUUCGUAUUUAAUUGUCAGAGGUGAAAUUCUAUGAUUUAUUAAAGACGAACCUAUGCGAAAGCAUUUGCCAAGGAUGUUUUCAUUAAUCAAGAACGAAAGUUAAGGGAUCAAAGACGAUCAGAUACCGUC